GUAGGGGUAUUUUGGACUUUUCACGUUCUGCGUUGCUCCGAUUGAGCUGAAAUUUUGCAGGUAACUAUAAAAUACCAUUAUAUACAACUUUCAUGUUUUAUGCCAAGCCAAAUUCGGCCUCUAACAUGGUGCAACAAAAACGGGCAGAAUAGGAUGAAAAUUUCCAGAAAUCUGAAAUCUUUUGGUUUCGAUUGAACUUUCUUCAAUUCCUUGUUCCAAUCACUACCAAAGCCCCUUGUAUAAUCUUAUAUACAACAUAUACUAACUAUACAACAAGUUUAGGCAGAAAUUAAUCAAACUCUAACUUACAUAUUUCAUCCAACAAUCACCACAACAACUUGCAUCACUUGUAAUCAAACCCAAAACAUGG
rnacentral:lncRNA from 1 species